GAUGAACGCUGGCGGCGUGCCUAAUACAUGCAAGUCGAGCGAACAGAUGAGGAGCUUGUUCUCUUGCCGUUAGCGGCUGACGGGUGAGUAAAACGUGGAUAACCUACUUAUAAUACUUGGAUAAUUUCGUGAAACCGGAGCCAAUACCGGAUAAUAUAUUGAACCGCUUGGUUCAAUAGUGAAAGACGGUUUUGCUGUCUCUUUUAGAUGGAUCCGCGCCGCAUUAGCUAGUUGGUAAGGUAACGGCUUACCAAGGCGACGAUGCGUAGCCGACCUGAGAGGGUGAUCGGCCACACUGGAACUGAGACACGGUCCAGACUCCUACGGGAGGCAGCAGUAGGGAAUCUUCCGCAAUGGACGAAAGCCUGACGGAGCAACGCCGCGUGAGUGAUGAAGGUCUUCGGAUCGUAAAACUCUGUUAUUAGGGAAGAACAAAUGUGGAAGUAACUAUGCACGUCUUGACGGUACCUAAUCAGAAAGCCACGGCUAACUACGUG
rnacentral:rRNA from 1 species